rnacentral:lncRNA from 1 species
AACCAUUGCUUUGUAUUAGUGUUUGACAGACCAAAGUUCAGUACUGAAGCUUCCCAUACGUGGUUGGAUUGACACCUUGACCAGCUUCAGGUUUUACCGGAUCUCGAGGAAGGAAAGGUACACCUGGUCCAAAGGUAUCGUAUGAAUAAACCUAAUUUUUCCAUCUUGCUAAACUGCACAAUC